AAACCCGUCACCCUCUCACCUCUUCCGCUUCUCCUUCAUCUUCUGCUUCUCAUUCUCAUUCUUUCAAUCUUUUUUCAAAUCUCGACAACAAUAAUAACAAAUUAUUUUUUCACUAUUAGGAUUUGUAUAUGGUGUUAAGAGUGCAAUUAGGGUUUGAUUUUGGUCUCCAUCUGUUAGGGUUUGUUGAUGACAAAAACAGUGAAGUUGAUGUUUGAAGGAAAUCAUAAGAAAAUUAGUUUGAUUUUGGUGGUAAAACUAAAAUCAAAUUCGGUUACAACAAACCAAAAUCAAGGUUAGGGUUUUAUACUAAACCUUAUGGUGGUGAAAUUGUUUAUAAUGGCGGUGAGGAAAACCAAAUUCGGGUUUGUUGAUAGUAAAAUUGAGAACAAUUUUAGGGGUUUAUGCUGAAUUUGAUGCAGCUGCAACUGAAUCUGAUUCUAGUGAAACUAAAUUUGAUACUGGUGAAGGAAGAAGAGGUGAGUUGGGUUUAAAUUAAACGUACCGGAGCUUUUGGAUUUUUGUGUAUUUAUUUUUCUUUUUUAUGAUUUGAUCAAAUGUCACGGAUUCUUGAGAAGUUAGGGUUUGCUGGUACUGUGAAUUGAAGAAUGAGGGCUAGUCUUGAAGAUUCAGAUGAGUUCAGAGAAGGGAAAUAGAUGGUGAUAUUGAUGUUAAUGGGUUUCUCUUGAAUCUGCUUGUGAUUAACGGUUAUGAAUGACGGAUCUGGUGGUUGAUGCUGGUGAUGUUUAAUUGAGGUGUUGGUGAAGCUGCAUAUGGGUGUUGUGUAGGUGCAAUUGCAGGAUUUGUUUGAGCCCAAGGAAGAAUUGGUAAGUGCAUAACAGAUGGUGUUGAGUAGGUGCAAUUGCAGGAUUUGUUUGAGCCCAAGGAAGAAGUUGUAAGUGCACAACAGAUGGUGUUGAGUAUGAUGUGUGAUGUUCAAGAUAAAAGAAGGUAAUGGAGAUGUUGUUGAAGAUGCAACAGAUUAGAUGUAUGCUUAGGAAUGGAUUGUGGGAGAUAAAUUGAGUAGAAAGCUAGAAUGGGAAUUGACUGAGAAGUGGGUUGGUGAUGGCCUAAUUAUGUGUUGCUACAGAUUUGAAUGGAGUUGGCUUUGCAGGAUUUGCAAGAGAGGUUUUGAGUUGUGAAUUAGAUGUAUGCUAGGUUGUGCAGGUGAGAAGAAAUACAGACCUGAAAAUGGUCGGAAUAGCACCAGAAGCAGACAAGACUCUGCCCGAUUCAUUCUUCAGUAAGUCGACUCAGUGACUCGCUGAACUCUAAGUCGGUGACUCAGCCGAAUCAGCCUUAUUCAGACCGACUCUGCUGUGGGUUUUUAAGACUUUUAUCAGGUGCCAGCUAGAACUUAACGACCCUAACAAACCGUUAGCCGUUUUUUGAAUAAAACAGUCAAAGAAGGGGCACUUUUGAAAAGUUCAAAAAAACGGAGGGCAAUUUUAUUAGUGUAUUUCAAAAUAGGGGCACUUUAUCAAAAAAAAAAAAAAAAAAUCUAUGCCUUCAUUCAGGUUCCCAUUCACAUCUCUUCAGGUUCCCGAGUAACCUUUUCUCUUAAUUUCCAGAUUCCAUAACGUAUGAUAAACCCUAGAUGCCAUUCUAUUCUCUCUUCGUAGGUAUUCCCAAUCAAGGUUUUCUCAAUCCAUAUUUAAUUUUUCCUCCAACUUAAAAAACAAAACGCUCAUCCUUGCAUUAAUUUAUACAAUGGCUAAUCACAAUCGAAAUCGACAACAGUUCCAUUCGAACAUGCAAGUCUUCUUUCCCUAGCUUCAAAUUUAUGUCCGGUUAUUAUUCAUAGUUUCGUUCAUCCAAAAUUGCUUGAAUUUACGAUUUGGAAUCUUAUGAGAAAUUUUUGUUGUGGUUUUUGGUUUGCCCGUCCUAAUUUUAAUUUCCCAAAUUUUUUUAGCUUCAAAUUUCGUUUUAUAUCCAAUUUUUUUCCUGUUAUUAUUUUUAGUUUCAUUGAUCCAAAAUUUCUUGAAUUUACGAUUUGGAAUCGUAUGAGAAAUUUUUGUUUUCUUUUUUGGUUUGCCCUUCCUAAUUUUAAUUUGCCAAUUUUUUUAUAGAAAUUCAUUAGGUCUGCACUGUGUCUCCUGCUCCUAUGUUUGAAUUGGGUUUCUGAUGAAUUUGUUUUCCAGUUUUCGGUAUUCGGAAUAAAGAACAGACGAUAUGGCAUCUCAAAUCGAUAUCAAACCACAGCAAGUACCAUCUUCAGUUACCCAGGACAAGUUGAAGAGUUUAGGAUCCCUUGACGAAGGAAAAUCAAGCGUCGUUACUGUUCAUGUUACUGGGAAGAAUUGAAUUUUACGUCCACCAAUGACGUUACCAGUGUAGAUAUGAUUAUUGUUGACGAGCAGGUAUUGACCCCCCCUGUUUCUGUAAAUUUGCAAUAUACAGCUUCAAUAAUGUUCCACUGACGAAUUACAUACCAUCAUACCCAAAAAUCUUACGAGAAGGUGGUUUGUACACUAUUGAGAAAUUGCAAUUGACUACUGCAAAAUCCAAAUUCAGGCCAGCACAGAGUGAAAAAAGAGUUUACUUUUGGUGGAACACCUCACUCUUCGCACUUGAUGCUUAUUCUGUGUCGAUUAUUCCCCAUAAUUUCUGCUUCACCGAGUUUGAGGCACUCGAAUCUAAUCUUCAGAACAUACAUAUUACAGGCUAUCUAAAAAACGGAUGCGGAAAUGGGGAGACCAAAUACUUGCACUGCUUGGGACAUAGCAAGAUAGAGACUACCCAUAAUAGAUUGGUUUCUACUGAAAAAUAAGUUUUGACGUUUUAAACAAAAGCUAAGGAACCAAGGCACAUAAUGGAAAGGUAGCCUUGACUCUUAAUUUUUUUGGAACCUCUUGGUGAAACUUACUGAACCCAACAUCUCAUCAUUAUAAAAUGACAAAGUUCAGUUAUUAUAAGUGGCAAUCCUCAUUCACUGUAUCACUGUACUUGAAAUGUAACCACACGUGCACAAUAUCUCGACCUACCAGCAGUGCUCAAUCGUGUUCGAAUCUAUAUCUCGAUGUACCAGCAGUACUCUGCAUCUUGAAAUGGUGUCAAGAUGCAGAGUAAUUUCAUCCAGAUAUAUGGUUGGACCAGGAUCGAUAUUUCUAAUGUCGAAAGAUUAAGUUCACCGCAUUUCAGGACCUCCAUAUAGGACUAUAAUCGACUUUGACUUGAUGUUAACGAUUCCACUUUUGCCAAGAGAUGGAUAGCAGAUGCACCACAAGAAUACUGCAUAAGGAGUGCCAUUUAUGUUCGCGAUGUCACCCAUCGAAAAAAUGGAAGGUGGAGCCAAAUAAAUAGAAGAGAAGAGCCUAACGAGUGCUGAGCAUGGAAAGGAUAAAGAAGGGAAGGACUGAAAAAUUGUGGCAACCAAGACAAGGUGAACGCAAAUAAGUAAGUGACACUUUGUAAAUGGUCUAUAACUAUGUUUAUUACUAGGCAAUUUUGCUGGAAGUGUCCUCUUAACGUUGUUUUUUGUAUAUGCCAAUUAUACCUUUAUUUCCUUUUCCUCUUAUUGGAUCCAAGACUAGUUCAACUGCUCUGUUGAUUUCUUCUAUGUACCAUUGCUGAUGUUGUGCUCGGAUUGGAUUCCCUUGAACGGUUGAACAAUAUCUAGCUGAAGCUUCAAAGGACAUUAUGAAAUUAGGCUGUAGUCAUUCAAGAAACCUUCUGAAAAUCAUUUUUUUUCAAGCUGAUUUUAGCUACAGAAAAUGGGAAUUUUCACGUGAAAGAUCAAGAGUAUAAAGCUUAUGUAUACCCUUCAAGCAAAGGCACAGUUCUUGACAGAAAGUGAAUCAAGAUGGUCAGUCAAGCCAUAUUGUGCAUGUAAAGGGGUUAUGCCAACGACGCAAUAUAUCUGUUCUCUUAUGCACUUCUUGCAGAUGCCUCGACUAGAAUUGAUUUGCAAGUUUUGUUGACACAACUAUUGUUCAGUUCGUUGACAAGUUAAUCCUUUCAGGGAUAUUUGGUAUAGAAUGGUGGAUCUAUUGGAGCAUGUUUGGUCGCAUCUCAUGUUGAAUUAUUGAGCUCAUUAAUAGUAUAACGGAGGGAAGCUUUUUGGUCAAUGUACAGAUGCUAGGAAAAUAUUUCUCGAGACGAAUAUAGGUUAUGUUGCACUUCAAUCCUCCACAUUUCAGAUCGUAGCUAUGGACAAUAGAUAUGAAUUGUUCAUUGCUUUCUUAGAUCUUCAUUCAUACGAUGUAAUGAGAAACUAUUUAUUUUUCAUAAAUUUAUCAGAAUGAAAUUUCAUCUUUGGUGUG